rnacentral:rRNA from 1 species
GACGAACGCUGGCGGCGUGCUUAACACAUGCAAGUCGAACGGAAAGGCCAUGCUUUUGUGGGGUGCUCGAGUGGCGAACGGGUGAGUAACACGUGAGUAACCUGCACUUGACUUUGGGAUAAAUUCAGGAAACUGGGGCGAAUACCGGAUAGGAGCUCCUGCUGCAUGGUGGGGGUUGGAAAGUUUCGGCGGUUGGGGAUGGACUCGCGGCUUAUCCGCUUGUUGGUGGGGUAGUGGCGUACGAAGCUUUUGACGGGUAGCCGGCCUGAGAGGGCGACCGGCCACAUUGGGACUGAGAUACGGCCCAGACUCCUACGGGAGGCAGAAGUGGGGAAUAUUGCACAAUGGGCGGAAGCCUGAUGCAGCAACGCCGCGUGCGGGAUGACGGCCUUCGGGUUGUAAACCGCUUUCGCCUGUGACGAAGCGUGAGUGACGGUAAUGGGUAAAGAAGCAACGGCUAACUACGUG